rnacentral:lncRNA from 1 species
AGCCAUCCAAGUAUCUUACCUUCACAGUUGACAAGGAAUAGAGUCAACAGAUUAUACCUAGUAGGAAUGCAAGAGAAAAUAAUUCAUUUGAAAGACAUUCUUCACUCCAUUUUGGAUGAUUGCUCACAACAAAAAGGGACAGCAGCACCUCACUCUGCCUGGGUUUUGAGAGGAGAAACACAAUAAAGAUGCUGAAGAGCUUGCUUACAACACUAUCAAGGAACAUAUGAGCAAUGGUAGUAAGGCUUUAUACCCCCAAGGCCAUCUCUGGAUGGAGAAGACAGAAAACAGGAAAACAGAGGGCUGGCCACCUGCAGAAAGAAAGGAAGAUUCAGACAAUAGUGACAUUUGGAACCAAAACCCUGGUUUUAUAACACAAAGAUCAUUGGCAAAGGGUAACACAGCGACAUCCGUCAAGCUCUGUGCAACCCUGGAUGUUCCACUGCAGUGGGGAAGGUGCAGAACUGGGACCUUUCUGUACAGAAAUGGCAAAAGCUCAGUAUUUGGGUUUAAUUCUGAAGAUAAAUGUACUUUAUUAACU